rnacentral:rRNA from 1 species
CUACGGGACGCAGCAGUGAGGAAUAUUGCACAAUGGGGGGAACCCUGAUGCAGCAGCGCCGCGUGGAGGAUGACGCAUUUCGGUGUGUAAACUCCUUUUAUAUGUCAAGAAAAUGACGGUAGCAUAUGAAUAAGCACCGGCUAACUCCGUGCCAGCAGCCGCGGUAAUACGGAGGGUGCAAGCGUUACUCGGAAUCACUGGGCGUAAAGGACGCGUAGGCGGGUUGGAAAGUCAGGUGUGAAAUCCUACAGCUUAACUGUAGAACUGCACUUGAAACUUCUAAUCUAGAGUAUGGGAGGGGGAGAUGGAAUUAGUGGUGUAGGGGUAAAAUCCGUAGACAUCACUAGGAAUACCUAAAGCGAAGGCGAUCUCCUGGAACAUUACUGACGCUAGGGCGUGAAAGCGUGGGGAGCAAACAGGAUUAGAUACCCGCGUAGUC